AAUUCCUGGCAUCCUCAAUAUCACCUCCAAAUGAUGCUCCAUACACUAGAAUCUUCUUCGGAACACAACCGCGAAGAACACAUGUUCCACCAACUCCUCCAACUACUUCUGAGCUGAUUGGAUGAAAAGGAAGCUCACAAAUCGCAACCUUAGCUCCAUAGUUAGCUGAAAACCUAGAAGCACGAACACCGCCACUUCCAGCUCCAAUUACAAACAAAUCAAAAUCAUAGUGGGACUCUUGUUCAUUCGACUGAUUCACCUCUCCAUCAAUAAGCAUCUUCCUCGCCAUGAUUGUAAAAUAA
rnacentral:misc_RNA from 1 species